AUACUAUACAAGUUGCAAUUAAACGAAGUAAUCGCAGCUUCUGGCCGUAUUGAAUGCUGCAACUCGGAAUAUUCGCAACCUUUGCCUGUCGACUUUGCUGCAAUUGUAAGGAAGAUUUUUCGCAAUAUUCGAUUCUCGAUCUCAUCUUCUCAAACCACCACAGAUCUAGAAUUUCAAGAGAAAGGUUUUCGAAUCUCCAUAGCCAUGGCUCCUUCUACACAAAUCUUUCCUACUCGCUCCUUCCUCUUCAUCUUUGUUCCUUCGCCAGCCAUAGCACGCGUUUGUGAGAUAGGUAAACUUGUAGUGUUUCGACUUUGUGUCAAAUCGUCAUUCAUGUCUACAGAGAAAUAAAGGUGGGGCGGAAGAGAGAGAAAGGCGCCGAAGUUUUCUUGUUUAAACAAACAAAUUCGCCAGCCACCGGUCGGGUUUUCUUGUUCCUUUUCAACAUCCGCCGCCGGCAACACCGCACCCCUCCAAUUCAAGCCCUCAAAUUGCAGAUAAGUAGAGAUAUAAGGAGCUAGGGUUUUGCGGUACUUGCUUAGGUAGAGAUGUUCGAAGUGAGUUCUUCAAUGGUUAAUUCUUCGCCGCCUUGCAAUUUGGCAGAGGGGAUUUCUUCGUGUUUCUACUUCGCAAAAUUCUCCUUUACCUCAAAAUUGAAGGGAGAAGAAGGGAGAUAAAAGGGUUUUCCGAUGUUUGUUUUCUGGAGAGUGCACUAGCAAUGUGUUGUCUGAAAAUCGUCCACCGUCAGAAUGGUAGGCAGCUACUUUGUUGAUAACCAGCAGCUUCCGAAGGAAACAGAUGACGAAGAUGGUUUUAUGUUGACAAUUGAUGGAAACAACAAACUCUACGAGCAGGAAGAUGCCGAGUUGAGUUUGGACCAGCACGCUGCAACUGAUUCAAGUACCAGUGUCUUCCAUGAAGGGUUAUGUACAAAGAGAAAUUCCACACUCUAAUGAGGAGUUAGAAGAAACUCGAGAACAAUGGGCAAAGUAUUUUAAGGACAACUAUUUGAUGGAUGCCGGCGAAUGAGUUUGUUGUCUAGUAAUUUGUUGUGUUUUAUGUUUUUGUUAUGUGUUGGAUAUGACAUUGGAUGCUACUUGGAGCAUAUAUAUAGUUGUUGGAACAUAUAUGUAUGUUAUGUCUUAUAUACAGGUGUUUAUAAAUUCCCCUUUUGUCCGGGUUUCGCAAAUUACAAGGGAAACUAUGGCAAAUUUUUUGCAACCUAUUAAACUAUUUAUAAUGUUUUUAUUAUAAUUUUUUGUCAAAAUAAUAGGAUUGUCCAGGGAUAAAUAUAUAAAUAUGCAUCUGAACGGAGCUAUUAUAUUUAAUUUUUUUUUUUUAAAAAAGAAUUAAUUGCAGCGCGUGUACUGGCACUAAGCUGCAAAAUGACAACUAAUAGCAGCACAUAUUUCUCAACAAGGCGCUGUAACUAGUUUUUAUUUGCAACUUAUUGGGGUCGAACCGCGCCGCAACUCAUACACUAUUUGCAACUUAUACAGGUCUACCCGCGCUGCAAUUAACCUAUUAUUUGCAGCGCCUAUGUCCGCUGCAAAAAAACUUACAGUAUUUGCAGCCAUCACAAUUGCAGCGCGCGAAAACGCUGCAAAAAGCCUGUUUUACCCGCGCUGCAAAUGUGAUUUUUUCUACUAGUGAGCUAAGUAAGAGAGCUUGUCGUACAACAGAGAAGGAGAAAUAAGGGGGAGCCAUCUAACGGCAAUCCAAGCUUCAAAAAUGUGUAGCUUUGUCCACAACUGACGCAGAGUAUAUUGCAGCAAUGGAAGCAAGCAAUGAGAUGCUUUGGCUUAAGAGGUGCCUUCAAGAGUUGGGUUUGAAGCAAGGUGAGUAUGUAGUAUUCUGUGACAGUCAGAGUGCUAUGGAUUUGAGCAAGAAUUCAAUGUAUCAUGCUCGCACCAAAUACAUUGACAUAAGAUAUCAUUGGUUGCGAGAUGUGAUUGAAGAGAAGAGAAUGAAACUGAAGAAAGUCCACACCGACAAGAAUGGUGCAGAUAUGUUGACAAAGGUAGUUACCGGAAGCAAGGUUGAGCUUUGUAGUAAGCUUACCGGGAUGAGGUUCAAGUGAUCAUGUAGGGAUCGUGUCUUCUUUGUGAUGGGCUGGAGGGGGAGAUUGUUGUAGGUCCAGCCUACUUGUUGCACAAGUAAUUAAUUUAUCUUGUGUUUGUUAGCCCAAAAUGUUGGGUUAUGUUUUUAGUCCACUUGGGGCUAAAUUGGUUGGCUUAUCUUAGAAGACUUUUAGUCUUUUUGAUGUUUAGUUAUGAACUAAGGGGAGUUAGAUCAGCUGUGAGAAAAAAUCAGAUCAAAAUACACACAAAAAGGAGAGGAGAGUAAGAGAAGAGAGGGUUCGUAACUUUCAGGGCAGUCAUCAGAAGGUGACAAGAGUGGACUCCUCACAAGUCCUGUGAUGUUUACUCUUCACAUCGAAGGGGUUUUCCACGUAUAAUUCGUGUGUGUUGAUUGCAUUUUGUUUUUCCGCAUUUGAUUAUUUGUUGCUGUCCAUUAUUGGUUGAUUGAUAGG